CACAGAUGAUGAACUUGAUGGGUGGACUGAGACAAUGUGCUGUCAUGUUCUGAUUU
rnacentral:snoRNA from 1 species